rnacentral:rRNA from 1 species
AUCUUCCGCAAUGGACGCAAGUCUGACGGGGCAACGCCGCGUGCGUGAUGAAGGUUUUCGGGUCGUAAAACUCUGCUGUUUGGGACGAACAAGUACCGUUCGAUUAGGUCGGUUCCUUGCCGGUACAUAUCCAGACAGCCACGGCCAACUAUGUGCCAGCAGCCGCGUUAAUACGUAGGUGGCAAGCGUUAUCCGGAACUAUUGGGCGUAAAGCGCGCGCAGGCGGUUUCUUAAGUCUGAUGUGAAAUCUUACAGCGUAACUGUAAGCGGUCAUUGGAAACUGGGAGACUGGAGUGCAGAAGAGGAGAGGGGAAUUCCAUGUGUAGCGGUGAAAUGCGUAGAGAUAUGGAGGAACACCAGUGGCGAAGGCGACUCUGUGGUCUGUAACUGACGCUGAGGCGCGAAAGCGUGGGGAUCAAACA